GCUUCAACAGAAUACCUGUGGCUGCACUUACAAAAGGCAGCCAGAAGGACCCGUCCAUUCUGGAAAGUACCUUUAGUCUGAAAGCAUUUAUUGCAGAAAAAAUAUGAGGCUUGCUGGUAGUAUUCCCAGGUGACAAAUGUGCACCCAACACCCUACAGAAAAGAAGAACCAUAAAAUAAUUAAUUAUUCCAUUGUAACUCCUGCCUGGAAAACAUCUGAAAGAAGUCACUAGAUUCAGCCCACAUUCAAGAUGAGAAAUACCAGAAGGCAGAGAACACUGAGGCUGUUUUAGAGGCUGUCAACCCCAGGGAGACAGACAGCAAAUAAGUAAGCAAAUAAAUAAAAAUGGAAGGUGAUAAUAAGUGCAAUGAAAAGAAAUGAAGCAGAGUAAAGAAUCAAGAGUAGCAGUUGAGGGGAUGCUUGGAUGUUUUCACACCACUCUGACACAUGGAUGGAAGGUUAGAAGACAACAAAGGAAUGGGCUGGGAAGGACUCCAAAAGCAGAAUCAGAGAUUAUAUCAUUCCUUGGAAAUGGAGAAAAGGAUCAAAAAAGCUGAAUAAAAGGCAAACAUGGAGGAACAGAGUUUGGAGCAAUACCCUGACUUACAUUCAGUACUGUUAAUGGCUCCAGCAUCUUGAAACAAACCAAUUUUGGAUUUUCAGGUAAA
rnacentral:lncRNA from 10 species